UACGGAGGAUGCGAGCGUUAUCCGGAUUUACUGGGCGUAAAGGGAGCGUAGGCGGAUUUUUAAGUGAGAUGUGAAAUACCCGGGCUUAACUUGGGUGCUGCAUUUCAAACUGGAAGUCUAGAGUGCAGGAGAGGAGAAUGGAAUUCCUAGUGUAGCGGUGAAAUGCGUAGAGAUUAGGAAGAACACCAGUGGCGAAGGCGAUUCUCUGGACUGUAACUGACGCUGAGGCUCGAAAGCGUGGGGAGCAAACAGGAUUAGAUACCCCUGUA
rnacentral:rRNA from 1 species